UGCAAGUCGAGCGAACAGAUGAGAAGCUUGCUUCUCUGAUGUUAGCGGCGGACGGGUGAGUAACACGUGGGUAACCUACCUAUAAGACUGGGAUAACUCCGGGAAACCGGGGCUAAUACCUGAUAAUAUUUUGAACCGCAUGGUUCGAUAGUGAAAGGCGGCUUCGGCUGUCACUUAUAGAUGGACCCGCGCCGUAUUAGCUAGUUGGUAAGGUAAUGGCUUACCAAGGCGACGAUACGUAGCCGACCUGAGAGGGUGAUCGGCCACACUGGAACUGAGACACGGUCCAGACUCCUACGGGAGGCAGCAGUAGGGAAUCUUCCGCAAUGGGCGAAAGCCUGACGGAGCAACGCCGCGUGAGUGAUGAAGGUUUUCGGAUCGUAAAACUCUGUUGUUAGGGAAGAACAAAUUUGUUAGUAACUGAACAAGUCUUGACGGUACCUAACCAGAAAGCCACGGCUAACUACGUGCCAGCAGCCGCGGUAAUACGUAGGUGGCAAGCGUUAUCCGGAAUUAUUGGGCGUAAAGCGCGCGUAGGCGGUUUCUUAAGUCUGAUGUGAAAGCCCACGGCUCAACCGUGGAGGGUCAUUGGAAACUGGGGAACUUGAGUGCAGAAGAGGAGAGUGGAAUUCCAUGUGUAGCGGUGAAAUGCGCAGAGAUAUGGAGGAACACCAGUGGCGAAGGCGGCUCUCUGGUCUGUAACUGACGCUGAUGUGCG
rnacentral:rRNA from 3 species